rfam:Streptomyces sp. WM6378 P402contig31.1, whole genome shotgun sequence.
UCGGCCCCGGUUCACGUAUGCGCAAUCCGCGCCUGCGACCCGGCGCC